rnacentral:lncRNA from 10 species
AGGAAAAGCUUCGGUCUGCAGGUCCCACCGAGAUCAACGCAGAAGGUGUUAACUGAAAACUCCUUCAGUCUACUGGAUUUCACCAAACUGCAACCAAGCAGCUUGUUAUUUGGCUGUCAUAUCUCACUUAGGAAACUGUUCAGUUGGUCAUGUCAGAGUCGAUGAUGCCCAGAACAUUUUGAGAAUGGCGGUAAAGUCAAGCUAUAAUUAAACCUGGAGGCUUGCAUUUAAAGGUACCAACAAUGCGAUGGAAUAACAAAGUGGGGCCUUUAAAAGGCAGUUAGGCCAUGAGUUUGUUCCUGAUGAAUGGGAUUAGGCGAGGAUAAAAGAGGCUUCAUACAGCGGUUCAGCCCUCUUGCCCUUCUGCCUUUUACCUUGUGGCGACACAGUAUUCCUCCCCUCCAGAGGAUGCAGGCCUCACCAGACAACAAGAACAGACAGCACCUUGAUCUUGGACUUCUCAUCCUCCAGAACUAGAGAAGCUACAUAGAAUGUUAAUGAAUCAACAAAAAAUGUGAUUUGAAGACUGUGAUUACCCAAGUCUUUAAGAGAUAUAAUGAAGACAGCACUUUGCACCCUUGAAUUUUACUCAUUGCAUUACAAUAAAGAGACUCAGAGGCAUCUGAGCACAAAGUGGCUGGGGGGAAAUCUGCACUUCAAAUUGAAUGGAAACAUUCUACCAGGAAUGCUCCUGGUAGAAGCAUUCUUCUCUCUUAAAGAUCUAAAAGAUUUCUAAGAUCUCCAGACCAGCAGAGCAUGACGUUGUGGAAAAAGAAAGCAAAAAUUCUGUGACUCACUAAGGGUAAUGGUCCAAACAACAUAAUGUCAUCAAUGUAAUGUACCAGUGUGAUACCUAUGGAAGGGAAAGGCACUCAAGAUCCCUGUGAACUAAAUUAUGACAGAGGGCUGGAGAGCUGAUAUACCCCUAAGGUUUUAUAUUGGGCUGUGCAGUUUCUCCUGCAAGUCAGAAGAUGGAACCUGUAGGUAAGAGCAGCUGCAGCCAACAUGGCUGGGUAUAUACUUGAUCCUUGUUUACUUUCAGAAACACUUUGUUGCCUCAGGCAAUGGGCUGGUUAGUGGAAUAUACACUGGUCUGAGCCCCUUGCUCAGGCCCUGGGGGCACAGGACACAGUGGGUGGGCUAAACCUGGCGAGGCUUCCUCCAAGUCCCCUAAUGGCUGGCACAAACAUCAAUGCUGAGGGAGAAGCCAGUGGGUAACUACCAAAUGCCCAGCUAUAUGUGUAGACGUAAAGCUGGGAAACCUUCUCAGCUCCAAGUUUUCUGCACAUGGUUGAGGGACAAUCUAAUCUAAUACAGGAGGGUGGGUGCUUCAGAUUCCUAAAGAACUGCCUGAGCAUGGAACAGAAAGGGCUCCUCUCCGUCAAGAUCUCUGCACAGGAGGAUUGGAGUGACUCAGGCUUUUGAACCACACAAGCAGAUUCUGUUAGGCUGUUCUUGUAUUGUUAUAGAAAAUACAUGAAACUGGAUAAUUUAUAGAAAAAAGAGGUUUAACUGGCUCAUGGCUCUGCAGGCUAUACCGGAAGCAUAAUGCUGACAUCUUCUCAGCCUCUGGAGGGGCCUCAGGAAACUUACAAUCAUGGUGGAAGACAAAGGAGGAGCAGGCAUGUCACAUAGUGAAAGCAGGAUCGAGAGAGAGAGCGAAGAGUUUUGAACAGCCAGAUCUCACAAGAAGUCACUCACUAUCAUGAGGAGAGCACCAAGAUGAUAGUGCUAAGCCAUUCAUGAGAAAUCUACCCCCACUAGGCCCCACCUCCAAUACUGGGGAUUACAAUUUAACAUGAAAUUUGGGUGAAGACACAUAUCCACACUAUAUCACAAAUGCUCUGAAUACCUGGACAUCUGCUUAAGCAUUUAGAAGAGAGGCCCUCCUACACUGGGUUCUCUGCACAGGAAGGGUGGGGAUGGUCAGGCUGCUGAUUCCAGUGAAUGAGUGCACUAAAUGCCUGGAGAUCUGCCUGAGCAUGAGCCAGAGAGGACCCCACUGGACCGUGAUCUAUGUUGAUGAAAGGUGAGGUGGCUCAGGCUGCUUGUGCAGGCAAGUGGUUGCUCCAAAUGCCUGCAUUUCUGCAUGGGGGUGGAGUGGAGAGAACCCCACUACACCACAGUCUCAAGAGAGCAGGCUGAGGCACCCUGCAGUGGCACGUGCAGACUGGCUCCAAGGUUGCCAAGCUGGCCCCAUCUGCAAGUCUCACAACCCAGGAGAAACCACAAAUGUAGCAGUUCUUCUGCUCCAGGCUUGUGACAAUUCCAGUGCCUACUGCUGAGGUACUUUCCACAGUUCUGGCUAUGGAGACCCCUACUUCACUCCAGAGCAGCUGCUCCAAUCUCUGGCCCAAGAUGAAAACGCCCACAUUACCAUGCUGCCAGGUCAACAAAGAAUGGCUUACUUUGUAUGUACCUAAAUUUAAAAUGUCACCCUCUUCUCAGUACUUGUUCUAGGGAAAUCUCUGUGCUUUUUUCGUGUCUUUCUCUCAAAAGAUCUCAUAGCCUGUCCCCCAAGUUAAUUCUAGAGCUUGGGAGAAACAAAGUGCUCUCCUUCAGUCUAGGUUGUUCCACUCUCCAGUGAAAAGGCAAGUGACGGGGAGAUUUUCUGCCUUUCUCAUGUGCUUCAUUCACUUUGAUCAGCUGGUUGUCAUCAUGGGCCUGUUUGCUGGCAUUCUUCUUCCCCAGAUCUAGAAUGUGCUUCAUGAUUCCAGCAGAUUCCCAUUUUCUUUCUUGAAUAAAAUCUCACAGAGUUGAUUUUCAUGCACUAUCUUGCUAUUUCCAAGUGUCUGAGGCACACUAACAGCCUCUAAUCUGCCAUCUUGGAAAAAAAUGAGAUUGAGUUGUCCUGACUUAUAUUUGAUUUAUGAAAGUUUGUCCUGACUUAUAUUGGAUUUAUAUAUAACUUAUUUAAAUCUCCUUAGACAGGUUUAGGAGAUCUAGAUAGUAUUUCUUUUGCACUUUUAUUUUUCAUUUUAAAUUUCAAGUCAAAAAAUUGAGUAAAAAUUAUGCUCAGUUUUUCUGUUUAUGUUGGUAUUUAAAUUUACACAUGUGGCAAAGCCCUUCAUAUCUCGUAUUGACAUAUAUACUCAGUUAACUAAUUCACAUUGACAGAUUAUUCUCCACUUUUUUGAUCUAACUGAAAAUUCCACUUUCCCUCAUUUUUUCAUAUCUAAGCAAUAUUUAGUCAUAACAACUUUAUUGUUUUAGUAUUUUUCUGGUUAUAAAAAUAGUGCAUUUAUAAGUGCAAAAUAUUAACAAUAAAAUAUAAAUUUUGUAUUUGCAAUAAUCUCAUUACUAAAAAGAUUUUUCUUUUUUUAUAUACCUUUUGUCCACUUGUAGAAUCACUUUUCCAUGCAUAUUCAUUAGUAUGUUUUGCUUAUUUUCAAAACAAUAUUUGUUUAUAUUGUUGGUGGUGGUAUUGAUGAUGAAUUUUCUUGUGUGCUCUACAAUCUUCCCCAUAGUAUUUAGAUAUUGAUCAAAAAUAUUUGCAGUAUAUCACUUGUGUAUUAAUUUUGUCUGUAAUCUCUUUGAGUAAAAAUUAUUUCCCUUAAUUUCAAAAAAUACAUUGAGAGUUUUCUAAUAUGUUUGGCUUUUUUGGAUUUAUUUUUAAAAUAUCCUUUUUCAAAUUUAUAAUUUACUAGCUAUAUUGUUAUAUUUCUCAUAUUUGGGAAUUUAAUCCACUGUAAUGCGUCACUGUAUUUGGCAUCAAGUAGGAAUGCAACCUACAUUUCUCUGUUGUUCUAUGUUUUCUAAAUUACCUACUAACAAUGAAUAAUUUCUCAAUGGGUUUCUGACUCCAAAUUUGUUCCUGAGUUCUAGAUUUAGUUUUAUUGACUUAUUUGUUCCCACAAAAUUAAAUGAGCUUUUAUUCCUAACUACAACUUUGGAACAUGCUUUAAAUUUGUGAGGAUAAGACCUUUCUUUACUUUUUUUGGUCAAAGUUAUAUUAUUGUUAUUUGAAUUUCUACAAUUAUAUUCUAACAUAACCCUUAUAAUUAAUCUAAAACCUCAUAGUAGAAAUUUUAAUUAGAAUUGUACUAUAUUCAUUAUGAAUAUUGUGCUAUGUAUCUUAUAAUAUUAUAUCCUUCCAUUCAUUAACAUAGUAAAUAUCUUCACUUAUUUUUCUGUUUGGAAGUUAAUAUUUCCCGUAAAAUUACUGGGGUUUGCUGUUAGAUCAAUUUUUACAUGCUUGAAGGUGAUUGUUUUUAUUGUGAAUGAAUUUUUUUAUUAUGUGUAUUACUGUGAUGGAAAAACCCUACUGUUUUUACAUUGGUCAUAUAUGUGUAUGUGUAUGUGUGUGUGUGUUUGUGUGUUGAGCCUUUUUAUUUUAAAAAUGUUGAUUAUUUUGUGUUUCUAUGUGUAAUCACAUAGCAUUUGCAAAAAAAAAUUGGUUUAUGCCUCCUAUUUCAAAACUUGUCCUUCUUGUUUCUGUUUACUUUUAGUACAUUGGUUAUACACUCUAAUACUGUACUGAAUAACAGCAAUAAUAACAGCCAUUUAUGUCUUGCUACUUAGUAAUAAAUAAAGUGAAUCUAACUUUUUUCCCUGGAAUAUCUUUUUAAAAUGUGUUCAAUAGAUGCCUUUUAUAAGUGAGCAAGGUGUUUACUAUCCCUGUUUGGGUGAAUUUUGUCCUAGAAAAAAUACUCAGAAAAAGAAAAUUAUAUCUCGACUCACUGUUGAACCUGUGCAUGACAGGGACAAAGCCUGCAUGCCAGUGUAUAAUAUCAGUCUUAUAUUUAUUCUUUGCAGAUAAUAUGGUUUUUAUAGCAGAUUUUAAGCUUUCCUCUUUAAUUGUAUUUUGCGGUUUUACUCCAACAGGUCAAAUUUGGAUAUAUAUGUUUCUUUAUCUUUUGUGUGAAUCUGAGUAUUUGUGGCUUCCAUAGAUUCUACAAAAUAUCUGUAUAAGGAUUGAUUACCUUCAUUGCUUAUAUUAUCUCUUUCUAUAAGUAAAGCGUAUAUUAAGUUUUUUCACUGUAUUCCUCCUGAAUAUUUAUCAUCUUUCAUGCAUUGCAUUUAUUUCUCUUUUAUAUUUUAUGUAUAAUUUUCUCAUACUUAUUCUUUGUAAACUUUCAUUGUCUAAUCAAAGAAAGAAUAUUUGUCUAAUCAUUUAAAUCAUUCUAUUGAAGUAUGGUUAAAACCACUAUUACUCUUCAUUAAUAAAA